GAUGAACGCUGGCGGCGUGCCUAAUACAUGCAAGUCGAGCGAACAGAUGAGGAGCUUGCUCCUCUGACGUUAGCGGCGGACGGGUGAGUAACACGUGGAUAACCUACCUAUAAGACUGGGAUAACUUCGGGAAACCGGAGCUAAUACCGGAUAAUAUAUUGAACCGCAUGGUUCAAUAGUGAAAGACGGUUUUGCUGUCACUUAUAGAUGGAUCCGCGCCGCAUUAGCUAGUUGGUAAGGUAACGGCUUACCAAGGCAACGAUGCGUAGCCGACCUGAGAGGGUGAGCGGCCACACGGGAACGGAGGCACGGACCGGACUCCUACGGGGGGCAGCAGUAGUGAAUCGUCCGCAAGGGGCGAAAGCCGGACGGAGCAACGCCGCGUGAGUGAGGAAGGUCGUCGGAUCGAAAAACUCUGUUAUGAGGGAAGAACAAAUGUGUAAGUAACUAUGCACGUCUAGACGGUACCUAAUCAGAAAGCCACGGCUAACGACG
rnacentral:rRNA from 1 species